ACCCUACGGGGGGCAGCAGUGGGGAAUAUUGGGCAGUGGGCGCAAGCCUGACCCAGCAACGCCGCGUGAAGGAAGAAGGCUUUCGGGUUGUAAACUUCUUUUCUCAGGGACGAAGAAAGUGACGGUACCUGAGGAAUAAGCCACGGCUAACUACGUGCCAGCAGCCGCGGUAAUACGUAGGUGGCAAGCGUUAUCCGGAUUUACUGUGUGUAAAGGGCGUGUAGGCGGGGAAGCAAGUCAGGUGUGAAAACCACGGGCUCAAACUGUGGCCCGCAUUUGAAACUGAUUUUCUUGAGUACUGGAGA
rnacentral:rRNA from 1 species